rnacentral:tRNA from 3 species
CGUUGGUCAAGUGGUUAAGACACCGCCCUUUCACGGCGGUAACACGGGUUCGAAUCCCGUACGGGUCA